rnacentral:rRNA from 1 species
UACGUAGGGAGCGAGCGUUGUCCGGAUUUACUGGGUGUAAAGGGUGCGCAGGCGGCUCUGCAAGUCAGGCGUGAAAGCUAGGGGCUCAACCCCUAAACUGCGCUUGAAACUGUGGAGCUUGAGUGAAGUGGAGGCAGGCGGAAUUCCCGGUGUAGCGGUGAAAUGCGUAGAGAUCGGGAGGAACACCAGUGGCGAAGGCGGCCUGCUGGGCUUUAACUGACGCUCAGGCACGAAAGCAUGGGUAGCAAACAGG